rnacentral:rRNA from 1 species
CAGUCCGAAAGGACUGCUAAUACUGCAUAAUAUCCCAGAGCUUAGAUGCUUUGGGAUUAAAGGAGUAAUUCGCUUCGGGAGGGGCCCGCGUCCCAUCAGCUAGUUGGUAAGGUAAUGGCUUACCAGGGCGAUGACGGGUAGGGGACCUGAGAGGGUGGCCCCCCACAAUGGAACUGAAACACGGUCCAUACACCUACGGGUGGCAGCAGUAGGGAAUAUUAGUAAUGGGCGAAAGCCUGAACUAGCAACGCCGCGUGUGCGAAGAAGGCCUUCGGGUCGUAAAGCACUUUUUGAGAGGAUGAGGAAGGACGGUACUCUCAGAAUAAGUCUCGGCUAACUACGUGCCAGCAGCCGCGGUAACACGUAGGAGGCAAACGUUAUCCGGAUUUACUGGGCGUAAAGCGCGUGUAGGUGGUUUGGUAAGUAGGGCGUGAAAGCUCCUGGCUCAACUGGGAGAGGACGUUCUAAACUGCCAAGCUUGAGGAUGGUAGAGGGAGGUGGAAUUCCGGGUGUAGCGGUGGAAUGCGCAGAUAUCCGGAGGAACACCAGUGGCGAAGGCGGCCUCCUGGACCACUCCUGACACUCAGACGCGAAAGCUAGGGUAGCAAACGGGAUUAGAGACCCCGGUAGUCCUAGCCCUAAACGAUGUAGACUUGGCGUCGGUGGUUUAAUCGCCAUCGGUGUCGUAGCUAACGCGAUAAGUCUACCGCCUGGGGACUACGGCCGCAAGGUUAAAACUCCAAAGGAAUGACGGAAGGGCGA